UACGUAGGGGGCAAGCGUUGUUCGGAAUUACUGGGCGUAAAGGGCGCGUAGGCGGCCUUCUAAGUCGAACGUGAAAUCCCCGGGCUCAACCCGGGAACUGCGUCCGAUACUGGAAGGCUUGAAUCCGGGAGAGGGAUGCGGAAUUCCAGGUGUAGCGGUGAAAUGCGUAGAUAUCUGGAGGAACACCGGUGGCGAAGGCGGCAUCCUGGACCAACACUGACACUGAGGAGCGAAAGCCAGGGGAGCAAACGGG
rnacentral:rRNA from 1 species